ensembl:lncRNA
CUUAGAUUUAUCUCCGUUAAAGUCUAUAAUAAUUAAACAAAAAUAUUUAUAAUGGGUUUAAAAUGAGCAGAAAAAGGAAGUGAUGACAUUUUGGAUUUCAUUUUAAUAUUGCUAUUCUGACUUUGAAUGUGUUGAGCAAGAGUAGCAAUCACAGCUUAACCAAUGUUCAACUUAUCAAUACCAUUUUUAUAAUCCUUUGAGGGAUGUGAGUCAAAAACCUCCAUUUCAAUUUCCCUAGAGAUCACUGCUGUUUGCUCUUCAAUUCAGAAUAUCUAGGAAGUAAUUGACUUGGAGAAGCUUUUCCUAAAGGAUGAUGCAUGGCAGAUCUCAUAUAUUUAUAAAAUAUGAAGAAAACAGAAAUGGACAUUUUCAUCCUAUAGAUUAAGAAAAGUUGCACAAAACAGAUAAGUAUAUGAACACAAUGAGAGUUCCUGUUCUGUCAUGACUACUCUGUUUAAGCUGUGAGUACUGUCUCACUCAUAAGAGGUUCUCAAUAAAUGUUUCUUUUUGAUCAUGAUAUUUAAUGAUGAUGAGAACCCAAAUGAAAAGACUUUUAGCCUUGAGUUAUUUAGUGGUUAUUUUUCCAAUGACUUUUGUUUUUAUUAUCAUUAAAAAGAACAUGCUAGUUGCCAGAAUACAGAAGCCAUUCCCAAAUUCUUCACAAUAUUAAUUUUUUUUUUUGGUACCGGGGAUUGAACUCAGGUCCUUGCGCUUGUGCAGCAGGCGGCAAAACCACUGAGCUAAAUCCCCGGCCCCAUAAUAUUAAUUUUAUUGAGCUAAAACACAGAAA